rnacentral:rRNA from 1 species
AACGUAGGAGACAAACGUUAUCCGGAGUUACUGGGAGCAAAGGGCGUGUAGGUGGUUUCGUAAGUCUGGCGUGAAAUUUUUCGGCUUAACCGGGAAAGGUCGUCGGAUACUGCGGAACUAGAGGACGGUAGAGGCGUGUGGAAUUCCGGGCGUAGUGGUGAAAUGCGUAGAGAUCCGGAGGAACACCAGUGGCGAAGGCGACACGCUGGGCCGUACCUGACACUGAUGCGCGGCAGCAAGGGGAGCAAACAGG